CUAGCUGGUCUGAGAGGAUGACCAGCCACACUGGAACUGAGACACGGUCCAGACUCCUACGGGAGGCAGCAGUGGGGAAUAUUGCACAAUGGGCGCAAGCCUGAUGCAGCCAUGCCGCGUGUAUGAAGAAGGCCUUCGGGUUGUAAAGUACUUUCAGCGGGGAGGAAGGGAGUAAAGUUAAUACCUUUGCUCAUUGACGUUACCCGCAGAAGAAGCACCGGCUAACUCCGUGCCAGCAGCCGCGGUAAUACGGAGGGUGCAAGCGUUAAUCGGAAUUACUGGGCGUAAAGCGCACGCAGGCGGUUUGUUAAGUCAGAUGUGAAAUCCCCGGGCUCAACCUGGGAACUGCAUCUGAUACUGGCAAGCUUGAGUCUCGUAGAGGGGGGUAGAAUUCCAGGUGUAGCGGUGAAAUGCGUAGAGAUCUGGAGGAAUACCGGUGGCGAAGGCGGCCCCCUGGACGAAGACUGACGCUCAGGUGCGAAAGCGUGGGGAGC
rnacentral:rRNA from 1 species